rnacentral:lncRNA from 1 species
GUUAGCCAGUUCCAAAGCAGGGUGGAAUGGUAGAGGGGGGAUCACAGGGGAGAAACAGUCAAUUGUGUGGCAAGGCAGGCAGAAGGUGGUGAGCAACAGCAGCAGCAGCAAGCUUAGCUUCCGUCUGUUCUUCUGUAUUUUAUCCAGGUGACAAUCCGACUGAUUUGUGAAGUCCAUCACACCCAGAGUGGGACUUCCAUUAUCCGCAUUCUUAAUCCCAGUAUUACACCCUUAAUCACAUUCACAAGCAUAAUCCAGCAACCAUAAAAAUGUCCUACCUGUGAGUGCAUGAGGCUUUGAGGGGACAUCUAGGUACAAGCCACAACAGGAGUUAGCCCACUCCCACAGGUAAACCUUAAGAAGGCAUUCUGGAAACAUCUGCAAGAUGAUAUUUCUAGCUGGUUUGAGAGAAAGCACUAUCUGCUUAUCAUUUCCAUGGGUUGCUGUGGUCUAACAGGCAGAAAAACGAAACAAAUACAAGGAAGAUCUUGAAAGGUGAGUAAUUUUGCGUUCUUUAUCUUGGUUUGAGAGUCUCUGAUUGUUUUUCAUCAUGUAUUUGAAUAAGAAU